AUUGUAUUCCAUCUGUCCGAAAUACUUGUCAUCAAAAUAGAUAAAAAAGGAUGUAUCUACAACUAAUAUACGUCUAGAUACACCCCCUUUUAUUCAUUUUGAUGACAAGUAUUUCCGGACGGAGGGAGUACUUU
rfam:Triticum aestivum genome assembly, contig: Triticum_aestivum_CS42_TGACv1_scaffold_221200_3B